ACCCCCCUACAACAAGGGACAACCUGAUGAUUACCACUAUGUCGUGUUUGGAAGGUCUGUUUCAACAUCACUUCAUUGAAAAUCAUCAGUAACCCCCAACACCACCAUAAACCCCCAGUUUACUGAUUUUCUUGUCCCAGACACUGAUUUCACCUUCUCCAACCCAAUCCAAGGUGUGAAGAUCCCCUAUGGUAUGGAGAUUGCUAUAGAUCUUCUCCUGACUGUCCUCAAAGUCACUUCUUUAUAUAUUAGGCAGACGAAACGUUUUUAUUGCGUUAGAAGGUUGAACAAGAGGAAAGUUAGAAGAAUGUUCUGGAUUGGAAGGUCUAACUCCAGACACUGAUUUCACCUUCUCCAACAAGCUCCAAGGUAUGAAGAUCCCCUAUGGUAUAGAGAUUGUUAUAGAUCUCCUCAUGACUGUCUCUAAAGUCGCUUCUCUAUAUAUUAGACAGACGAAACGUUUUUAUUGCGUCAGAAGGCUGAACAAGAGGAAAGUUAGAAGAAUGUUAUGAGCAUGGGAAUUCAGACCUAAGAAGAAAAAUAGGUCCCAAUGUUUGUAUAGAAAUUAUAAAGAAAUUCAACUGUACAAAAAAGAACGCGUGAACGAUAAUUAUACCGAGAAAUGGGAACAAACUUGCCAGUAGUUAUUGAUACGAAGUGGAUAUUUCCAAACCAUUUACUUCACAACCAGACAUGACGAAUUGUGAUGAAUUCUACGACAAACGAUUGAUGGACUUGUCUACACACCCCUACAACAAGGAACGACAUGAUAAUUAACACUAUGUUGUGACUGGAAGGUCUGACUCAACACCACUUCAUUAAAAAACAUCAACGCUGAUUUCACCUUCUCCAACGUGAUCCAAGGAAUGAAGAUCCCCUAUGGUACGGAGAUUGUUAUCGAUCUCCUCCUAACUGUCCCCAAAGUCGCUUCUCUAAAUAUUAGACAGAUGAAACGUUUUUAUUGCGUUAGAAGGUUGAACAAGAGGAAAGUUAGAAGAAUGUUCUGAGCAUGGGAAUUCAGACCUAAGAAGAAAAGGAGGUGCCAAUGUAAUUUCCAAACCAUUUACUUUACAACCAGACAUGACGAAUUGUGAUGAAUUCUACGACAAACGAUUGAUGGACUUGUCUACACACCCCUACAACAAGGAACGACGUGAUAAUUAUGACUAUGUUGUGAUUGGGAGGUCUGACUCAACAUCACUUCAUUAAAAAUCAUUAACGCUGAUUUCACCUUUUCCAACAUGAUCCGAGGUACGAAGAUCCUCUACGGUACGGCAAAGACUAUUUUAAUACACAAUGUUAUUUUGUUUCUAUUUUAUAAAUAUUCUUUAUUUAUUUCGAUUCUGUUUGCUGUUCAUUCUAUUAACACUAAUUAUUUUAUAUCUAGAAUUGUUAAAAAUUAA